rnacentral:rRNA from 1 species
UACGUAGGGGGCAAGCGUUGUUCGGAAUUACUGGGCGUAAAGGGCGCGUAGGCGGCACAGCAAGUCGGAAGUGAAAGCCCGGGGCUCAACCCCGGAAUGGCUUUCGAAACUGCUGAGCUAGAGUACAGAAGGGGCAACCGGAAUUCCCAGUGUAGCGGUGAAAUGCGUAGAUAUUGGGAAGAACACCUGAGGCGAAGGCGGGUUGCUGGGCUGAUACUGACGCUGAGGCGCGAAAGCCAGGGGAGCAAACGGG